CACGCGCCGCUAGUCGUACAUAAAAAUUCAUCGACGCGAGAAAAUACGGUGCUCGUUGUUGCUUAAUUGAAACGCACCGGCCGGCGGUCGGCUGGAACUUUUGCACUUCCCUUGUAAACUUUAAUUCAACGGUCUGUCGUUGCUACCUUUCCACGUUUUUCUCGAGCGUAGCGAGCAUAAAUUCGCGUUGCAGGUUUUACGGUGUUACGCACGGGAGCUUGGUAAUUUUUUGCUCGAAGAAGGGAUUGCGAUUGCGCGGCGAUACAGCGGAUAACUUUCGAGUGGAACGUGCGACCAAUGGGAAUUGCCCGUUUACCUUGCCUUUCAAUUAAUGAUAUGUAACGAUUUGAAUUACCAAUUCGACUGCGCCACUAAUCUGAACCGCUUGACUUUUGGACGCAUGCCGAUGAAUCACUGGCAACUGAAAUAGCUGCACUAGCAAUCUGAACUGCUUGACUUUUGAUGAUGAUACUGAAUCUGAAGCACCUGAACCACUCCAGCUGUGAUCUGGAUUAUAGCUUUAGCUACAGUUCUGCGAUCAAAAUACUACUAUGGGCUGCGGCAUAACGAUCCGAAUUGCACUAUCAGUUAUGGGGGUAUAAUCUAAACAUCUUUACGGAUUAUGGCGACACAACAUGAAUUGCAUCAUGAUUUCUUACAAAAUCAUCUGUAACACUGUCUAUACGAGUGUAUAAUGAGAAGGGUGAAUUAUAAUUCCUUCACGUUUGAAGAUGACCAGUAAAUUAGUCGAAGAUAUUUACAUUUAAAUGAAAGCCAGUGAAUAGUAAUGACUAAAUUUUCUUUUAUGUCGGAAUACCUAUUCGUCAUUAAUCAAUUUACAUUAUAUUACAGUGUAAUCGGAAUUAUAUCACAGCCCCUCUCCUAUAAUCUACAUAACACUUUGUGGAUUGGCUCAGCCAUUUGAAUUAGUUUAUGAUCACUUACAAUCCCAUUUGGAUUGCAUUAUGGGCUAUAGAAUCGUAAACAGAUUUCAUAAUGAAUUUCGAGUAAGUGAUCUCCAUUAGAUCGUGGCCUGCAAUCUGGUUCAGGAAUAGUUCUCUCUAUACAAUAUUCAAUAAUUUCAAUUACGUCGUAGUCCAGUGCAUCUGGUAGUAGAGAAUGCGAUCUAAGUGUGUCUUAGAUU